ensembl:lncRNA
GUCUUCGUCUGCGCCCGCGCUCCACGUCCCACCUCCCGGAGGAUCUCGGCACCCCGGGAGCCAGAGGGGUGUCUGAACCUAGGAGCAUCUGUUUGGGAAGGGUCUCUGCGGAGCGAGGGUGGGGAGGGAUCUGUGCACAGAGACAGCAUCUCCCCCAGAGAUUUGGGGGGGUCUCCGCUGAGGGUGCGCCCCAACGCGGGGGAGGGGGCGGGUCUCAGUGCAGAAACAGAUUUUACAUCUCCUGGGGAAGCGUGUGGGGACGACCCCAGUGCCCGGAGGGGUCGCCUCAGUGAGGGUCCUUAGGCCUAGGCAGCGUGGGUACAUGGACGCUCUCCCAUCCGCCUCUGCCCCCGCCGGGCCUGGCCACGCGGAGUCGGCCACCUAAGCCACGCGACAGAGCCCUCCCCAUCCCCUGCCCGUCGUGACCACACGGCUUAGCCAGCCCCUGGGUCUAGAAGCUUCCUCCAACUAGGCAGAGGGCGGUCCGAGCUCUCCAGGCUUCUCUGCAACCUGCACCAAGUAGGCUCCUGCUGUGUGCCGGGCUCUGGUCGCAGUCAGGGGAGCGAGGAGAUUGUCGAGGCCCCUCUCUGGCGGCCUCCCUUCCAGCCUGGCCCGUUGCGGCUCCACUCUGCCCGGGUCUAGCCCUCCUGGGUGAGCCCCUGGGUUUCUCAGAGAGACGCUUCCCUAGGAAAUCUCCCGCGGCCCCUCCUCAGCCUGAAUCUCAGCUUUACUGAGCUAGAACCUCCUCUUCCCCAUCGCCCCGGCAUUUGGAGCGGACGCGCCUCCCUGCCGGGAAAGGGUCCUGGGGGGAUCAGAGCCUGAGACCGGCUCUGGGAAAGCCGCGCCCUCCGGGCCUGGCUUUGGCAGCUGGGCCUUAACCGGCGCUCAAGAUUCUGUUUGAAGUCAAUUCCCAGAACAUCGGAUACAGCCAGAGUCAAAGAUAAAUAUAAGAACACGCUCGUCAGCCUGGGUUAAGUGUUUUCUAUUUACCCAUGGCUCAGGAUCCGCUGGACUAGGCUCUGCGACCUGGGACCCGACAGCAAGAACAAAGAGGGGAUGCCCAGGGUGGUGGGGCACUGUGGGGUCGAAAGAUUCCUUUCUCUGGUUUGGGCUUAAGACCCUCUCUCCACCAAGAAUAAGUUGGGCCUCCUUUCCCAAGGGAUGCAAAACUGGGCUUGGAAUCUCUGUGUGCCCCACUCCCCGCUUUCCCCCAGGUAGCUGUCCUAGACAUGCUCCACACAUACUUGUGAGCUGUGUUAUCCACUGGUCCCACCAGUGUUUACAGAAUACCCACUCUGUGUCUGACCAGGUGCUAGGUUCCCUUGGAAAGCUUCCUUGGUCACAAUGAUAACCACCGUUUUGUUUUCAAAGAGCCUACCCUGGGCCAGACACCAUGAUUAAUUUUUCAAAAUACUAUUUGUGUACUAUAAAAUUCCACCAUUUAAAACUAUACAAUUCAAUGGUUUUAAUAUAUUUACAAAGACUGUGCAUGAUUAUAAAUUCUCAAAAUAAGUAUAGGUGUGAGGUAUUAUUAUUUCAGGGGAGCUAAAUAACUUUCCCACAGUCACCCAGCUGGGAACUGGCAGAGCAAGAAUUUGAACCCAGGCAGUUGAGACCAAAGCCUGACUCUGAACAGAAGUCUUGAUUGCCUCUUAGGAUGGAGCCAGGUGCUGAAGGGUCUUAAAAGCCAUCCAUAGGAAUUCCCUGGUGGUUUAGCAGCUAAGAUUCCGUGCUUCCCAUGUAGGGGAUCCGGGGUUCAAUCCUUGGUCAGGGAGCUAGAUCCCACAUGCGACAACUGAAGAGUCUGCAUGCUGCAACUAAGACCCAGCGCAGCCAAAUGAAUAAAUACAUAUUUUAAAAAGACAGACAUCCAUGAAAUUAGGUCCAGUUGAGGAGGACAACAGUGGGAGUCACUGCAUCUUGUUGAGCAGGUGAAUAGUGAGACUGAAGUUCUAUCGCAUAACCUUGUAAUGUUACAGCAUUGGGCGUAGCAGCCCCUGUGUCUGUUUCUAGAAAGAUUCUGGAAUUUGUCUGUUUCUCUCCAUUCCCUCUUUUUUUCUUUUCUGUUUUAUUCACUGAUUUCUUUUUAAGAUACUUAAAAAAAAUUGGAAUAUAAUUGCUUUACAAUGUUGUGUUAGUUUCUGCNNNNNNNNNNNNNNNNNNNNNNNNNNNNNNNNNNNNNNNNNNNNNNNNNNNNNNNNNNNNNNNNNNNNNNNNNNNNNNNNNNNNNNNNNNNNNNNNNNNCCCAGGAAUCGAACCCUGGUCUCCCGCAUUGCAGGCAGACGCUUUACCGUGGGAGCCAUCAGGCAACAGGCUCACAAACAGCACCAUUCACUUUUUGGAACAAGUGUGGAUCCCAAUAGACAUAUAUGUAAACAUAUAUUGCGGUUCAUAUAGGAAUUUUGUUGCCAAUGUCUUUGUCACCCAUACUUUAAUUCUUUUUUUUAAAAUUUAAAAAAUUUUAAAUGAGGUAUAGUUGCUUUACACUGUUGUGCUAGUUUCUGCUGUGCAGUGAAGUGAAUCAGCCGUGUGUAUACGCAUAUCCCCUCUUUGUUGAGCCUCCCUCCCACCCUCUGAACCCCACCAUUUCACCCCUCUAGGUCAUCACACAGCGCUGAGCUGAGCUCCCUGUCUAUACAGCAGGCUCCUGCUAGCUAUCUGUUUACAUAAGGCAGUGCCCAUACGUCCAUCCCAACCUCCCAGUUCAUCCGACCUCCCUCCUUGUUCCACGUGUCUGUUGUCUGUGUCUGUGUUUAUAUUCCUGCUCUGCAAAUAGGUUCAUCAGUACCAUAUUUCUAGAUUCCGCACACAUGUAUUAAUAUAUGAUAUUUUUCUCUUUCUGACUUACUUUACUCUAUAUGACAGGCUCUAGGUCCAUCCACAACAAUCCUAUUUAACUUUCAGUCUCGUCACCUUUGUUCUGAUAGAGACAAUUGUUCUGGCACCACAACCUCAAUUUUGAGAAUUCA